UACGUAGGGUGCGAGCGUUAAUCGGAAUUACUGGGCGUAAAGCGUGCGCAGGCGGUUCGCUAAGACCGAUGUGAAAUCCCCGGGCUUAACCUGGGAACUGCAUUGGUGACUGUCGGGCUAGAGUGUGGCAGAGGGGGGUAGAAUUCCACGUGUAGCAGUGAAAUGCGUAGAGAUGUGGAGGAAUACCGAUGGCGAAGGCAGCCCCCUGGGCUAACACUGACGCUCAUGCACGAAAGCGUGGGGAGCAAACAGG
rnacentral:rRNA from 1 species